rnacentral:lncRNA from 1 species
UUUGGAAUUCCAGAAACAACCAACGAAGAAAGAGAAAAGAAGAAGUUGUGUGGAAUGGGAGAAGACACGAUUCACUUUGGGCAAUAAAUUUUUAUUUUUUAUAUUUAUCUUGUAGCAGGUUACCCGGUUAAUUGGAAAGGGUAUCAUAGUAUUAUUAUGUAUAUAUGACGCCGUCUAUGCAUCCGUUAGGUAAAAGCGUUAGUGUAUGAAUUACUCUUUUUUUCAUGGCUAUAGCUCCCAAUUUCCCCAUAUUUAUUCGACGGAAUUACCCUUAUCUGAAUACCAACGCCGUUAGAUUCUCUAGUGUCCGUUAAAUGUUUUUGUUUUUAUGAUUUUUUAUUAACUAAAGGGAAAUUAACAUAGAUAACCAUAAAAAAGUAUAAUUCUUUUUUUUUUCAUAAAAAAAAGAAGUAUAAUUCAUGUUGUGUAUAAUAUGUUAUAUGAACAAAAUUUGGGUUCAUCCCCAAUCAAAACGCCACGUAGGACGGAUUAAAAAAAUAGCUAUUAAGAAAAAAAAAGAAGAUCACAUUCUAUUCUUCUUCA